CUCCGAGUGCGCAGCUGAGCGCAGCUCCGCGUCCUUCCCCUGGUCCUUCUUCUGCUUCGUACGUCGGUUCUGGAACCACACCUUCACCUGCACACAACCGGAAAACAGGAAGGAAGACAGGAAGGAAGCAGGUGUUCAUUUUGUGAAGCACUAAAGAAGUCUUUACACACAACCAUGACAUCAUCAUCAUCAUCAUCAUCAUUGUACUACAGCAUCACAGAGAAAGCAUACUACUGCUGCUGCUGCUGCUGCUGCGAUCCAGCUCACAGUGAGACGAGAAACAGAGCAGACACAGACCAGUUCAGCAGCAUGACCUCUGGUGUGACUCCGUGUGAAAAACUGAGAAUAAGGUCACACGGCUCCUUCUGCUGAACGCACAGAGCUCUCAUUAACUUAAACGGAAAUCAUUAGCAGCAUUCCAACAGACGAACAGACAGAAAAAAACGCCCGGAUGAACUCGAUGGUACGACAAUAAGGAAAUGUGAAAUGAUAAACAUCGGCUUUAGAGAACGUGUUUGGGAAGAUGUGCAAUUUAGAAAAUGAUUCAAUUGCAGAAAAAUGUAGUUUUUAACUAAACGUAAUACUACUACUACUAAUAAUAAUGAUACAUUUUCUGUCUUUGGGUCUGUUUAUAUUGAUAGUAGGAGCAUCUUAAAUUAUUUCAGUCAUUUAAAUGAAGAUCUAUUAACAAUAUAUCUAAUAUAUAUAUAUAUAUUUUGCCAUUUAAACCCUAGGUUUCUGGUCUGUAAGUCUGGUCUGUAAAUCUACCAGAGAUACAAAGAGAUAUAAAUUCACAUGAGAGUUUCAGUGUGUGUGUGUGUGUGUGUGUGUGUGUGUACCUGAGUCUCUGACAGGUUGAGCU